rnacentral:rRNA from 1 species
GACGAACGCUGGCGGCGUGCUUAACACAUGCGAGUCGAACGGAAAGGCCCUGCUUUUGUGGGGUGCUCGAGUGGCGAACGGGUGAGUAACACGUGAGUAACCUGCCCUUGACUUUGGGAUAACUUCAGGAAACUGGGGCUAAUACCGGAUAGGAGCUCCUGCUGCAUGGUGGGGGUUGGAAAGUUUCGGCGGUUGGGGAUGGACUCGCGGCUUAUCAGCUUGUUGGUGGGGUAUUGGCUUACCAAGGCUUUGACGGGUAGCCGGCCUGAGAGGGUGACCGGCCACAUUGGGACUGAGAUACGGCCCAGACUCCUACGGGAGGCAGCAGUGGGGAAUAUUGCACAAUGGGCGGAAGCCUGAUGCAGCAACGCCGCGUGCGGGAUGACGGCCUUCGGGUUGUAAACCGCUUUCGCCUGUGACGAAGCGUGAGUGACGGUAAUGGGUAAAGAAGCACCGGCUAACUACGUG